UCUGGCUCAGAACGAACGCUGGUAGCGUGGAUUAGGCAUGCAAGUCGAACGGGAUCGCCCGGGUAGCAAUAUUCGGGCGUGAGAGUGGCGGACUGGGGAGGAGCACGUGAGCAACCUGCCCCCGGGACGGGGAAAACCUCUGGAAACGGAGGCUAAUACCGGAUGCGGCGCCCCGCGGAUUCGCGGGAGCGCCAAAGGGGGCCGCAAGGCUUCCGCCUGGGGAGGGGCUCGCGCACCAUCAGCUUGUUGGCGGGGUAACGGCCCACCAAGGCUUACGGUUAGCUGGUCUGAGAGGAUGGCCAGCCCCACUGGGACUGAGAUACUGCCCAGACUCCUACGGGAGGCUGCAGUCGAGGAUCAUUCGCAAUGGGCGAAAGCCUGACGAUGCGACGCUGCGUGGAGGGAAUGAAGGCCCUCGGGUCGUAAACUCCUGUCAUGGGGGAACAGGCGAGGGGCGCCAACACCGCCCUUAGUUGAGGGUACCCCAAGAGGAAUUGGCGGCUAACUCUGUGCCAGCAGCUGC
rnacentral:rRNA from 1 species